AUGAAGGGGGGAUUAAAUUUUUUCUCUAUUUUCUCCCCCUCCCUCCUUUCCCUGGAAUUGAGGGGUGGAGUGAGUUCAGGGUCCUCCUCCCCUUCCUCCCCAAUCCCCCGGUUACUGGGAGAAAGGCAGACUCCAGUGGGUGGUGACAGUAUGAAGAGAUUUGUAGGAACAAAGGAAGGACAGGUUUGGAUUGCUGGACACGUCCCAGAGCUGGAGAGACCCCCCCUCCAUUCCACUGGCACCCCCUCCCGUCAACCCCCCAGCUCCCCAGACAAGGAACUCAAUGUCUUCCAGCCGAGUUUAGGGAUGGCCUGGCCAGAAGGUGGCUGGGAAGGCACCAGGGAGAAGAGAGCCCCCGCCUCAGCUGAGGGAGGGAGAACAGCAAGAGAAAGAAAGAGAGAGGCAAGCGAAAUUCCUGAAUGGAUAGACAGAUGCUACGUCAUCGGAGCUGCAUCCUCCACUCCACAAGAGGCUAGGAGCCGGGAGAGAGAGGCAGUCCAGCAGCAGGGGCCACCGAGCAGUCUCUCUUCCUCCCAGAAGCCAGGAGCUGGGCAUCCAGGAAGAAGCAGCCUCCUUUGUUUCUGGUGUCAUCGUAGGUGGCCACCUUUGGCUUUUGGGGUAUUUAUGUUCUUAUUUGUUUGUUUUGAUGGUGGUGUGGGUGGGGGAGGAAAAGGAAAGCUGGCCCUCUACCACCUGUGUUUUCUCCUGUUCUCUACACCUUUCUACCCCGUUCCCCGUCUCUUCUAGCUUUCAGCCCCUGAUUUUGGUCUACACUGAUUGUAGUAAGACCUGCAUAGUCAUUGAUAAUGGGAAUGCAACAAGGUGGCUAAGGUAUGAAAGGCCACCCUGUGCUCAAUUCUGUAAGAUGGGAGAGGUGUUGACGAUUCAGAGACUUCUUCCCCUGCUCUCAGAGGCUGCUAAGGACAGAGCUGGAGGCCAGUUGACCCUGGGGGAAGUGGUUGUUGCAGAAGGGAGCAGAGAUAUCUGUACAUGGGUGACAGAAGUGAGAAAGGAGAGAAGCAUGGGGACCUGAGGAGCUUCAACAACUGAGUGGGUGUGUGUGCCAGGGUGUGUACCUGUAAGCAUUGGGCAGUGGUAUUGCUGGCAGUAUCUGUGGCUAUGUCAUUGCAUUUGCCUCAGUCGAUAGGUUUGUGUGCGUAUGUGCAUGCCUGUGUGUAUGCACAGCACUCUAACACACUCAUGCUUUUGCGCCUCAAGAGUGUUGAUGGUAGAGUGUUGGCCAUUUGCUGAUGGCCAGCACUCUACCAUCUCUGUCACCUUUUUCUCACCUCCCUGACUCCAUAGGGCUCUCAGGCAAGUGAGCUGCAUGUGGGUUCAAGGACAGAAUCGGGAGCAGGCAGGGGAGGCAGUGCUGAGACAGGCCUGAGGAACUCUCAGGCUGGCCUCCCAAUAGGAGAAAAAACAGCCUUGUGGGAGGGAAGGUGGUGGUACCCCCAGGGGUAAAAUCUUCCAGAUUAUGUCUCCAUGCCCGCUAACCUCAUCCGCCCAUAUGGAGAUAUAUAUAUAUUUUUUCACAGCUUCAGCAAUUUUUUUUACUGCCAAUUCUUGCUUCUGUUUGUCACUAUCCCAUAGACAAUGCAAAUAUUCUAUAGCAAGAGAAUAAUAUAUGAUAAUGUUCAUAAUAAUGAUGCACUUAUAAGACAGAAAUAAAUACCUGAACCCACCCUCCUCCA
rnacentral:lncRNA from 1 species